rnacentral:rRNA from 1 species
UAAGGAGGGUGCGAGCGUUAAUCGGAAUUACUGGGCGUAAAGGGCGCGUAGGUGGUUUGGUAAGUCUGUUGUGAAAGCCCCGGGCUUAACCUGGGAAUUGCAUUCGAUACUGCCUGGCUCGAGUAUGGUAGAGGGAAGCGGAAUUCCGGGUGUAGCGGUGAAAUGCGUAGAUAUCCGGAGGAACACCAGUGGCGAAGGCGGCUUCCUGGACCAAUACUGACACUGAGGCGCGAAAGCGUGGGGAGCAAACAGG